rnacentral:rRNA from 1 species
CAGUCGCCGCGGUAAUACGUAGGUGGCAAGCGUUGUCCGGAAUUAUUGGGCGUAAAGCGCGCGCAGGCGGAUAGGUCAGUCUGUCUUAAAAGUUCGGGGCUUAACCCCGUGAUGGGAUGGAAACUGCCAAUCUAGAGUAUCGGAGAGGAAAGUGGAAUUCCUAGUGUAGCGGUGAAAUGCGUAGAUAUUAGGAAGAACACCAGUGGCGAAGGCGACUUUCUGGACGAAAACUGACGCUGAGGCGCGAAAGCCAGGGGAGCGAACGGGAUUAGAGACCCCAGUAGUCCCUGUCUCUUAUACA